rnacentral:rRNA from 1 species
GAUGAACGCUAGCGGCAGGCUUAACACAUGCAAGUCGAGGGGUAUAGUUCUUCGGAAUUAGAGACCGGCGCACGGGUGCGUAACGCGUAUGCAAUCUACCUUUCACAGAGGGAUAGCCCCAGAGAAAUUUGGAUUAAUACCUCAUAGUAUAGCAGUUUCGCAUGAAACCACUAUUAAAGUCACAACGGUGAAAGAUGAGCAUGCGUCCCAUUAGCUAGUUGGUAAGGUAACGGCUUACCAAGGCAACGAU